ACUUACGAACAGCUUUAUGAAACACCACCCAGAUCAUCAUAAUGUCGAGUACUGGAGCUGUGGAUGAAGACGACAUCAAUGAAUUGGCGAUGACCCAUGUUGAGGGGAAGUGGGAUGAGCACACUAUAGCGAAACUCCAUUCAAUGGUUGAUUCUGGCGCAGAAGGAAAUACCAUUCCUCUUAGAACGUUUCAAGGAAUGUACCCUAGUCAUUUUACCAAAGAUGGACUCCCCAACCCUAAGUUCAUACACAAUUCAAGUGCAAGGCUGUUCGCGUACAAUGAGAUCCCAGUUACACACUAUGGGUCAUUGAGCCUCCCUUGUCGUUUCAACAACUCUCCAUGGCUAUAAGCCACAUUCUUCAUCAUAGACUCCAAGGAACCGGCAAUGAGACCUGACAUCAUGGUGUAAUUGAUUGGUUAAUGCUUUUGCGAAUUUCUCAGCGAAUGCACAAGGUGAAACCCCUGGAUUUAAAUAAGAACCAGGUGAAACCCCAGGUUCUGAGUCAUUGAACUAUAUUUUGUUCUUAUUCAUAUUCAAUUGUUUUACUAAUAAUUUCAACAUUAUUAAUUUGAUUUAUCUAGAAUUACUAAGAUAUUGCUGAUUUAGAAGUUAAUAUGAUAAUUUCUCACGCUCAUAAGCCCUCCUCCAGAAAGAGAUAAAAAAGACUCAAGCUUGCUAGUCAUGUGACUAUAAGUCAUUAAGGAAAUCUGGCAAACUCUACAACACGCGCACAUAAACAAAAAAGUUUUCACUUAUUGUGUUUACGUAUUGUAGCGCAGUAUUGUUGAGAAAGUUUACUGUGUUCUUUUGGUAAAGUUUGUGAUAUUUGCGAUAAUAUCAAGAUGCCGGCGAGAUGCAUCAUUGGAGGUUGCAGAAUCACUACAAAGGAUGGGGUCAGUUUACAUUUGUUUCCCACAGAUGCAAAUUUACGCAGAUUAUGGGUCUCGAAAGUAAAGUUGACCCGAGCAAAUUGGAGCGCCCCCAGUGACUGGAGCGUGGUGUGCAGUAGCCACUUCGAAGAUGCGGAUUUUGUCGACGGAUUGCGUGCUGCUUUCGGCAUGAAGAGGACCCGGCGACUAAAGCCUGAUGCUGUGCCUAAAAUAAGGAGUGGAUCAUCAAUACCAGUAAAGAGGAGUGGGUCUCGAACAGCAGAGGACAAACAAAAGAAAAUGAGGGUGAGCAUAUCUCUUAGACUGGAUUUGCUGAUUUUGUGAAUUUAUCUUUCAUUGCUAUUGUGGUCAGUCAGUCGGUUCAAGUUCAAUGACGAUGAGGUCACACUAACACAGAAUAGACUGAACAUCCCC